rnacentral:sRNA from 1 species
AGCCUAAACCUAGCCUUUUAUGGCCUGGCAUGGCUCAAAGCCCCUUGGAAGGUACUGAACCCCGUGUUCAGCAACUCGUCAUUGGGCCAGGCCGGGAAACCGGUUUGGGGCCGCAAGGCAC